GACGAACGCUGGCGGCGUGCCUAAUACAUGCAAGUCGAACGCAUUUUCUUUCACCGUAGCUUGCUACACCGACAGAAAAUGAGUGGCGAACGGGUGAGUAACACGUGGGUAACCUGCCCAUCAGCGGGGGAUAACACUUGGAAACAGGUGCUAAUACCGCAUAAUUCCAUUUACUGCAUGGUAGAUGGAUGAAAGGCGCUUUUGCGUCACUGAUGGAUGGACCCGCGGUGCAUUAGCUAGUUGGUGGGGUAACGGCCUACCAAGGCUGCGAUGCAUAGCCGACCUGAGAGGGUGAUCGGCCACACUGGGACUGAGACACGGCCCAGACUCCUACGGGAGGCAGCAGUAGGGAAUCUUCGGCAAUGGACGCAAGUCUGACCGAGCAACGCCGCGUGAGUGAAGAAGGUUUUCGGAUCGUAAAACUCUGUUGUUAGAAAAGAACAGGGAUGAGAGUGGAAAGUUCAUCCCUUGACGGUAUCUAACCAGAAAGCCACGGCUAACUACGUG
rnacentral:rRNA from 1 species